rnacentral:rRNA from 1 species
UGAAGCUUCGGCAGAUUUAGAUUGUUUCUAGUGGCGGACGGGUGAGUAACGCGUGGGUAACCUGCCUUGUACAGGGGGAUAACAGUCAGAAAUGACUGCUAAUACCGCAUAAGCGCACAGGACCGCAUGGUCCGGUGUGAAAAACUCCGGUGGUAUAAGAUGGACCCGCGUUGGAUUAGCUAGUUGGUGAGGUAACGGCCCACCAAGGCGACGAUCCAUAGCCGGCCUGAGAGGGUGAACGGCCACAUUGGGACUGAGACACGGCCCAGACUCCUACGGAGGCAGCAGUGGGGAAUAUUGCACAAUGGGGGAAACCCUGAUGCAGCGACGCCGCGUGAAGGAAGAAGUAUCUCGGUAUGUAAACUUCUAUCAGCAGGGAAGAAAAUGACGGUACCUGACUAAGAAGCCCCGGCUAACUACGUGCCAGCAGCCGCGGUAAUACGUAGGGGGCAAGCGUUAUCCGGAUUUACUGGGUGUAAAGGGAGCGUAGACGGAUGGACAAGUCUGAUGUGAAAGGCUGGGGCUCAACCCCGGGACUGCAUUGGAAACUGCCCGUCUUGAGUGCCGGAGAGGUAAGCGGAAUUCCUAGUGUAGCGGUGAAAUGCGUAGAUAUUAGGAGGAACACCAGUGGCGAAGGCGGCUUACUGGACGGUAACUGACGUUGAGGCUCGAAAGCGUGGGGAGCAAACAGG